GGGGCUGGGGCUCAGCGGCAGAGCACUCACCUAACACUUGUGAGGUCCUGGGUUCAAUCCUCAGUGCCACA
rnacentral:tRNA from 1 species